GAUGAACGCUGGCGGCGUGCCUAAUACAUGCAAGUCGAGCGAACGGACGAGAAGCUUGCUUCUCUGAUGUUAGCGGCGGACGGGUGAGUAACACGUGGAUAACCUACCUAUAAGACUGGGAUAACUUCGGGAAACCGGAGCUAAUACCGGAUAAUAUUUUGAACCGCAUGGUUCAAAAGUGAACGACGUUCUUGCUGUCACUUAUAGAUGGUUCCGCGCUGCAUUAGCUAGUUGGUAAGGUAACGGCUUACCAAGGCAACGAUGCAUAGCCGACCUGAGAGGGUGAUCGGCCACACUGGAACUGAGACACGGUCCAGACUCCUACGGGAGGCAGCAGUAGGGAAUCUUCCACAAUGGGCGAAAGCCUGACGGAGCAACGCCGCGUGAGUGAUGAAGGUCUUCGGAUCGUAAAACUCUGUUAUUAGGGAAGAACAUAUGUGUAAGUAACUGUGCACAUCUUGACGGUACCUAAUCAGAAAGCCACGGCUAACUACGUG
rnacentral:rRNA from 1 species